GACUGCUGAUAUCAUGGUCCGCUCUUCUGUACUGGCAACCUUGACUGCCUUCCAAAUCUGCCCUAGCAUGUCUUUCUCCCCUGCAGGUACAUGGCAUCAGGAGAAAAAAUGGGUGACGGGAGGGUGCUAUGUACAUCAGGCACAUGGGCUGGCCUAUUGAAAUCUGGUGAGGUGACAGCCCAUAUUCUUUAUUCUCGAUGCUGCUUGCCUGCACCACUCAGAGAGCCCCAUGGGAUUGCGGUUGAGAGGCACAAUGGUGUGGUCAUUAGCUCAGUGACCAUUAAAACUCUCUGUUGCUCUCAUCCCAUUCAAAAAUAAAGUUGAAAAUGGAUAGAUAGCUGAAAAGUAAGCAACAAGCACAAUUUUUGUGCAAACCAGUCAGAAAUGUGGAGAAAAACUAUACUUCACUGAGUUUUAAUCUCUCUCCUUUGUGGUAGGGCUUGCCACAGACUGGGCCACCCAAGCAAGGGCAGGUCUGCCUGUUCUUGCUGUGCUUCCCAAGCUGCUUUGCCUGCAGAUUUCAGAGAGCUGUAAAUCACUCCAGCCAGGCUUGCAGCUGGACAUUUUCUUUCUCCUUAGGAUCUUUUACUAAAACUACGGGAAGUGAUCAAGUGAGUUAUAGCUCGAAACCAGCCUGGUAGAGAAGGGAAUUUUUAGAGGAGUUUUCCUGCCUCAUCUUCUCAGAAAUAUCUUCGAGUGAAAAAGCCCUAAGCACAUCAUAGGAUCAUCCCUACCUUCUUGAACCUUCAAAAUACAUAACCUCAACCAGUGCCAACUGAGCAGAAGUUUAGUUCACGUUCAGUGUGAAGUAAAACGUCUAAAAGCCAAGUUCAUGCUGCUUUGAUGAAUGAGCCCAAUAUCCAGGGUUCUCGGUUGGAGGAAGAUGGAUGUGUGUCGAUCUGAGCUUUUUCUUGGCUCUUUCCUUGCACUGACCCCCUUCAGUGCUGAGGGCAGCACCAAGCUCUCACCUGGCCCCUCCCUGUGCACAGGCUGUUGUCAUUUUUAAGGGCAGGAUCUCUUAAAGAUCCCUUGAAGAGUUUUGGUUUAUUAUGAGAGGGAAAGAGUAAAAAAAAUCAGUGAUCCAUCUCUUUGGACCAGGGACUUACCUGAGCUUCCUUGGAGACUCUAUCUGUUGUGCUAUUGGCACUUGGCCUGGCUGACCCUGGGCUGUCCUGUCCAGCGGUCUCUCGUUAAGGAGCAGGAUGGGAUGUGGUUCUAGUCUAAGAAGAUUUGUGUUUCUGCCGGGUCCAUUAAUUCCAGAGUCCAUUUUCAGGAUGGCAAAUCAGUAGCACUGGGGUCAAGAAGGAAUCUUCCCCCAGGGCAGACUGGCACUGGUUCCUAGGGAGUUUUGCUUUCCUCUGCAGCACUGAGCAUGACCACUGUUCAGGGCUCCUUCAGUCCCUUUUGGCUGGGUUGCUGCCUGCUGCUCAUGCCCCAUGAAGAUGGUCUGUCAUACCCUGCAGCUGUGGGCAAGAAGCUUUCCAGACUCCCAGGGUGGGUCCCAAGGGUGGCCUGGGGGUUGCUUCUUGUCCUCCUGUAGCACUGGGAACAGCCCCUGUCAGGGCUCCUCUGGGCUCCUGUGACUCCAUUCUUGCCUGCUGCCCUCACACCUCCAAGGCACCACUUGUGCCCUGGCUCUCUCUGGCUCUCUUGCCCAUUGCAAACCUGGAGUGGGGCUGAGCUCUGCUCUUCCCUUGGCUCCAUUUCCCAUGGGAUUCUUGCAUCCAUCCAGAGCUGUCAUUCUUCAGUUCUCCUGCAUGCAACACAAGCACGGGCCAUGCAUCCCUGGCCAGGAAGCACAGCAACAAGGGAAAUCUUGGAUGGCAAAAAUUGUGCUUGUCAUCAAUAUGCGUUAUAAUUUGUAAAAUAUCCCACAGUAUCACAUAUGCUUUCUUUUUUGUGUGAGGUUGGUACAGUCAGUCUUUGUGUUCUCAUGCCUCAGGAAACAAGAGCUGCUGGGCCUGUAUUCCUGCUACUAUAUUCUGUAGCUCUGUCACUUUCCUUUUCCAGACUACAAAGGAUGGGUUGUAAAGCUAAACUGAAGAACACAUCAGCCUGAUCCUGGCUACACAUGCACAUUGUGUUAAUGGUUGUGAGCAUCAAUUCCAAAACAGAUGAAGAAAAAUAAAAAUUAAAAUAAUAUCCUGUUUCCAGUUA